rnacentral:misc_RNA from 1 species
CCGAGUUUUCAACUCCCAAACCCUUAUGUGAACCUACCUAUCGUUGCUUCGGCGGACUCGCCCCAGCCGGACGCGGACUGGACCAGCGGCCGCCGGGGACCAUCAAACUCUUGUAUUAUCAGCAUCUUCUGAAUACGCCGCAAGGCAAAACAAAUAAAUUAAAACUUUCAACAACGGAUCUCUUGGCUCUGGCAUCGAUGAAGAACGCAGCGAAAUGCGAUAAGUAAUGUGAAUUGCAGAAUCCAGUGAAUCAUCGAAUCUUUGAACGCACAUUGCGCCCGCCAGCAUUCUGGCGGGCAUGCCUGUUCGAGCGUCAUUUCAACCCUCGACCUCCCUUUGGGGAAGUCGGCGUUGGGGACCGGCAGCACACCGCCGGCCCUGAAAUGGAGUGGCGGCCCGUCCGCGGCGACCUCUGCGUAGUAAACCAACUCGCACCGGAACCCCGACGUGGCCACGCCGUAAAACACCCAAC